AAUUUUUUUUUUAAAAAAAGAACAUUAAAAUAGGCUUUCUAGAAAUUAAAGAAGACCAUAGAAGACGGAAAGAUCUACCUUGUUCUUAGAUAAGCAGAAUUAAUAUUGUCAAAAUGACCAUACUACCAAAAGCACUAUACAGAUUCAAUGCAAUCCCAAUCAAAAUCCCAAUGACAUUCCUUAUAGAAAUAGAAAAAGCAAUCAUGAAAUUCAUCUGGAAAAAUAAGAGACCCAGAAUAGCCAAAGCUAUCCUUAGCAAGAAGAGUGAAGCUUUCCUAUACCAGACCUUAAACGAUACUACCGAGCAAUAAUAACAAAACCAGCAGGAUAUUGGCAUAAAAAUAGACUGGUAGACCAAUGGAGCAGAAUAGAGGACACAGAGUCUAACUCACAUAACUACAGUUAUCUUAUAUUAGACAAAAACACUCCCCCAAAAAAAACAUUGGAGAAAAGAGAGUCUCUUCAACAAAUGGUGCUGAGAAAACUGGAAAUCCACAUGUAACAAAAUGAAAUUAAACCUCUAUCUCUCACCAUGCACAAAACUCAACUCAAAGUAGAUCAAGGAAUUAGACCAGAGACCUUGCGCCUAAUGGGAAAAAAAAGUAGGUCCAAAUUGCCAUCAUGUGGGAUUAGGCCCCAACUUCCUUAAUAAAAUUCCUUUGGCACAAGAAUUAAAACCAAGAGUCAAUAAAUGGGAUGAAUUCAAACUAAAAAGCUUCUUCUCAGCAAAAGAAACAAUCAGUGAGGUGAAUAGAGAGUCUACAGAAUGGGAGCAAAUCUUUACCACAAGCACAUCAGAUAAAGCACUAAUCUCUAGGAUAUAGAAAGAACUAAAAAAAAACUUAACACCAAAAAAAAGAAAUGACCCAAUCAAUAAAUGGACCAAGGAACUGAAC
rnacentral:lncRNA from 1 species